CACAAUUAUGUUUAUUCAUUAUCAUUAUAAAUUCAAGAUGGCCGCCGCUACAAAAUGGCGGAUAAUUUAUGUUUUAUUAAUCCCAUCAAUAUGGGUAUCAAAUGAAAGGGCUCAACAAGCAGAAUACAAUAUACUAUAAAAAAUUGAAAUCCAAGAUGGCGGCCGCUACAAAAUGGCGGAUAACGUAGGUUUUAUCGAUCCCAUCAAUAUGGGUAUCAAAUGAAAGUGCUCAACCAGUAUAAUCAAUGUACUAUAUAAAAUUAAAAUCCAAGAUGGCGGCCUCUACAAAAUGGCGGAUAACUUAGGUUUUAUCAAUCCCAUCAACAUGUGUAUCAAAUGAAAGGUCUCAACAAGUAGAAUACAAUUUACUAUGCAAAAUUGAAAUCUAA
rnacentral:misc_RNA from 1 species